rnacentral:rRNA from 1 species
GACGAACGCUGGCGGCGUGCCUAAUACAUGCAAGUUGAGCGAUGAAGAUUGGUGCUUGCACCAAUUUGAAGAGCAGCGAACGGGUGAGUAACGCGUGGGGAAUCUGCCUUUGAGCGGGGGACAACAUUUGGAAACGAAUGCUAAUACCGCAUAACAACUUUAAACAUAAGUUUUAAGUUUGAAAGAUGCAAUUGCAUCACUCAAAGAUGAUCCCGCGUUGUAUUAGCUAGUUGGUGAGGUAAAGGCUCACCAAGGCGAUGAUACAUAGCCGACCUGAGAGGGUGAUCGGCCACAUUGGGACUGAGACACGGCCCAAACGCCUACGGGAGGCAGCAGUAGGGAAUCUUCGGCAAUAGACGAAAGUCUGACCGAGCAACGCCGCGGGAGUGAAGAAGGUUUUCGGAUCGUAAAACUCUGUUGGUAGAGAAGAACGUUGGUGAGAGUGGAAAGCUCAUCAAGUGACGGUAACUACCCAGAAAGGGACGGCUAACUACGUG